UACGGGGGGAGCAAGCGUUGUUCGGAUUUACUGGGCGUAAAGCGCACGUAGUCGGCUUUGCAAGUCGGUUGUGAAAUCCCCGGGCUCAACCUGGGAACUGCAUCCGAGACUGCAUUGCUAGAGUAUGGGAGAGGGAAGCGGAAUUUCUGGUGUAGCAGUGAAAUGCGUAGAUAUCAGAAGGAACAUCAGUGGCGAAGGCGGCUUCCUGGACCAAUACUGACGAUCAGGUGCGAAAGCGUGGGGAGCAAACAGG
rnacentral:rRNA from 1 species